AUGCCAACUUACUUACCUACUCUUGCUGGUACCGUAGACGUAGUGCUAUAUUGCGAAUUUCGUGGACGAACAACUCUAGUCACUAGUGGCUAGUGAGCAACACUAACAGAGCCUUGACGUUGCUGGACGAGCGACAAUAUAAAUUACAUAAACAUGUAGCUCAUGAUGUGGAAUGACUGCCGUAUCGCAUUGCCAACGCAAACCCAUCCUGUGUCAGUGCAGCCAUCCAGCAACUUCAACUCCCCGGACCAGAUGCCGCUGCAGCUGAACACCAUGCCGAUGGAAAGCCAGGAGUUGAUAGCGAAGCAUUCUGGUCUGCACAGUACAAGGCAAAGAACAAUUAUGAAUUAUAACGCAUAGUAAUCCUUCCCACACUUCUUUGUAAAAACAAACAAACAGUGCCAUUAUCACAACACUUGA